rnacentral:rRNA from 1 species
GAUGAACGCUGGCGGCGUGCCUAAUACAUGCAAGUCGAACGAAACUUCUUUAUCACCGAGUGCUUGCACUCACCGAUAAAGAGUUGAGUGGCGAACGGGUGAGUAACACGUGGGCAACCUGCCCAAAAGAGGGGGAUAACACUUGGAAACAGGUGCUAAUACCGCAUAACCAUAGUUACCGCAUGGUAACUAUGUAAAAGGUGGCUAUACUACCGCUUUUGGAUGGGCCCGCGGCGCAUUAGCUAGUUGGUAGGGUAAAGGCUUACCAAGGCAAUGAUGCGUAGCCGAAUUGAGAGGUUGAUCGGCCACAUUGGGACUGAGACACGGCCCAAACUCCUACGGGAGGCAGCAGUAGGGAAUCUUCCACAAUGGGCGAAAGCCUGAUGGAGCAACGCCGCGUGGGUGAAGAAGGUCUUCGGAUCGUAAAACCCUGUUGUUAGAGAAGAAAGUGCGUGAGAGUAACUGUUCACGUUUCGACGGUAUCCAACCAGAAAGCCACGGCUAACUACGUG